GACGAGGGACCUAGCGUUGUUCGGAAUCAUUGGGCGUAAAGCGGGUGUAGGCGGGCUUAUAAGUCAGGUGUGAAAUCCCAGGGCUCAACCCUGGAAGUGCACUUGAUACUGUAAGUCUUGAAUGUGGUAGAGGUUACUAGAAUUCCUGGUGUAGUGGUGAAAUACGUAGAUAUCAGGAGGAAUACCAGAGGCGAAGGCGGGUAACUGGGCCAACAUUGACGCUGAGAUCCGAAAGUGUGGGGAGUCAAACAGG
rnacentral:rRNA from 1 species